rnacentral:rRNA from 1 species
UCCGUUUGAUCCUGCCAGAGGUCACUGCUAUCGGUGUUCGUCUAAGCCAUGCGAGUCAUAUGUUCUUCGUGAACAUGGCGUACUGCUCAGUAACACGUGGAUAACCUGCCCUUGGGUUCGGCAUAACCCCGGGAAACUGGGGAUAAUACCGGAUAACGCAUAUAUGCUGGAAUUCUUUAUGCGUAAAAUGGAUUCGUCCGCCCAAGGAUGGGUCUGCGGCCUAUCAGGUAGUAGUGGGUGUAAUGUACCUACUAGCCGACGACGGGUACGGGUUGUGAGAGCAAGAGCCCGGAGAUGGAUUCUGAGACAUGAAUCCAGGCCCUACGGGGCGCAGCAGGCGCGAAAACUUUACAAUGCGGGAAACCGUGAUAAGGGGACACCGAGUGCCAGCAUCAUAUGCUGGCUGUCCGGGUGUGUAAAAUACACCUGUUAGCAAGGGCCGGGCAAGACCGGUGCCAGCCGCCGCGGUAACACCGGCGGCCCGAGUGGUGAUCGUGUUUAUUGGGUCUAAAGGGUCCGUAGCCGGUUUGGUCAGUCCUCCGGGAAAUCUGACGGCUUAACCGUUAGGCUUUCGGGGGAUACUGCCAGACUUGGAACCGGGAGAGGUAAGAGGUACUACAGGGGUAGGAGUGAAAUCUUGUAAUCCCUGUGGGACCACCUGUGGCGAAGGCGUCUUACCAGAACGGGUUCGACGGUGAGGGACGAAAGCUGGGGGCACGAACCGGAUUAGAUACCCGGGUAGUCCCAGCCGUAAACGAUGCUCGCUAGGUGUCAGGCAUGGCGCGACCGUGUCUGGUGCCGCAGGGAAGCCGUGAAGCGAGCCACCUGGGAAGUACGGCCGCAAGGCUGAAACUUAAAGGAAUUGGCGGGGGAGCACAACAACGGGUGGAGCCUGCGGUUUAAUUGGACUCAACGCCGGACAACUCACCGGGGGCGACAGCAAUAUGUAGGUCAGGCUGAAGACCUUGCCUGAAUCGCUGAGAGGAGGUGCAUGGCCGUCGCCAGUUCGUACUGUGAAGCAUCCUGUUAAGUCAGGCAACGAGCGAGACCCA